UACGUAGGGUCCGAGCGUUGUCCGGAGUGACUGGGCGUAAAGCGCGCGCAGGCGGCCCGCGAGGUGUCCUGUGAAAGCCCCGUGCUCAACGCGGGAGGGUCAGGGCAAACCGGCGGGCUUGAGGCCGGUAGAGGUGGGUGGAACUCCUGGUGGAGUGGUGAAAUGCGUAGAGAUCAGGAAGAACACCCGUGGCGAAGGCGGCCCACUGGGCCGGACCUGACGCUGAGGCGCGAAGGCGUGGGGAGCGAACAGG
rnacentral:rRNA from 1 species